ensembl:miRNA predicted gene, 44392
AGCUAACAUAUUUAGAAAAAUUAUCAAUGCUUCUUAGCUUUUUGGCUAAGAUCAAGAGUAGAAUAAUUAAAUCAUCUACAAUAAUGCAAAAAUGAGAACAUGAUUGUUAUGAAU